rnacentral:rRNA from 1 species
GAUGAACGCUAGCUACAGGCUUAACACAUGCAAGUCGAGGGGCAGCAUGGUCUUAGCUUGCUAAGGCCGAUGGCGACCGGCGCACGGGUGAGUAACACGUAUCCAACCUGCCGUCUACUCUUGGACAGCCUUCUGAAAGGAAGAUUAAUACAAGAUGGCAUCAUGAGUCCACAUGUUCACAUGAUUAAAGGUAUUCCGGUAGACGAUGGGGAUGCGUUCCAUUAGAUAGUAGGCGGGGUAACGGCCCACCUAGUCUUCGAUGGGUAGGGGUUCUGAGAGGAAGGUCCCCCACAUUGGAACUGAGACACGGUCCAAACUCCUACGGGAGGCAGCAGUGAGGAAUAUUGGUCAAUGGGCGAGAGCCUGAACCAGCCAAGUAGCGUGAAGGAUGACUGCCCUAUGGGUUGUAAACUUCUUUUAUAAAGGAAUAAAGUCGGGUAUGGAUACCCGUUUGCAUGUACUUUAUGAAUAAGGAUCGGCUAACUCCGUGCCAGCAGCCGCGGUAAUACGGAGGAUCCGAGCGUUAUCCGGAUUUAUUGGGUUUAAAGGGAGCGUAGAUGGAUGUUUAAGUCAGUUGUGAAAGUUUGCGGCUCAACCGUAAAAUUGCAGUUGAUACUGGAUAUCUUGAGUGCAGUUGAGGCAGGCGGAAUUCGUGGUGUAGCGGUGAAAUGCUUAGAUAUCACGAAGAACUCCGAUUGCGAAGGCAGCCUGCUAAGCUGCAACUGACAUUGAGGCUCGAAAGUGUGGGUAUCAAACAGGAUUAGAUACCCUGGUAGUCCACACGGUAAACGAUGAAUACUCGCUGUUUGCGAUAUACAGCAAGCGGCCAAGCGAAAGCGUUAAGUAUUCCACCUGGGGAGUACGCCGGCAACGGUGAAACUCAAAGGAAUUGACGGGGGCCCGCACAAGCGGAGGAACAUGUGGUUUAAUUCGAUGAUACGCGAGGAACCUUACCCGGGCUUAAAUUGCAGAUGAAUUACGGUGAAAGCCGUAAGCCGCAAGGCAUCUGUGAAGGUGCUGCAUGGUUGUCGUCAGCUCGUGCCGUGAGGUGUCGGCUUAAGUGCCAUAACGAGCGCAACCCUUGUUGUCAGUUACUAACAGGUUCCGCUGAGGACUCUGACAAGACUGCCAUCGUAAGAUGUGAGGAAGGUGGGGAUGACGUCAAAUCAGCACGGCCCUUACGUCCGGGGCUACACACGUGUUACAAUGGGGGGUACAGAGGGCCGCUACCACGCGAGUGGAUGCCAAUCCCAAAAACCUCUCUCAGUUCGGACUGGAGUCUGCAACCCGACUCCACGAAGCUGGAUUCGCUAGUAAUCGCGCAUCAGCCACGGCGCGGUGAAUACGUUCCCGGGCCU